rnacentral:lncRNA from 1 species
GGAAGAUAUUUUGGCAUAGGAUAGAAACCUAAUUUGGCAACUUUUUUUUUCUCUCGGUUCAUUCAGAAUGUUUCUUCUCUGUCUUCUGGGUCACAUGGUUUCAACAAGAUAUUUCAUGUUAUGAUCGGUUCCUUUGUACCUACUCUUUAUAUUUCUCUGAUUGCUUUUAAGAUUUUCUCUUUUAUACUGAUUUUAAGUAAUUUGAUUACAUUGUGCCUUAGUGUUAUUUCCUCAUGGCAUGUGUGUGUGUGUGUGUGUGUGUGUGUGUUUGUGUGUGCGUGUGUGGAGUUAUUUGAACAACCUGAAUCUGUAGAUUUAUAUUUUUCAUCAGUCUGGAAAAUUCUUGGCUAGUAUUUUUCUUUUUACCAUUCUGUCUCCUCUUCUUUGGUGACUCUAAUCAUGUGUAUUAAUAAACUAAUAAUUAAAGACAUCCUGCGUCCUCAUUGACACUCUGAUAAUUAUUUUUUGCCUGUGUUUCCUUUUGGAGAAUUUUCAUUGCUGUAUCUUCACGUUCACUAUUCUUUUCUUUGGUUGUAUCUAAUCUGCUUUGAAUCUUAGCCAAUAUAUAUUUCAUCUCAGACAUGGUGGUUUUCCUAUUUGGAAGUUUGAUUUAAUUUUAUUUAUUUCUUCUUCUCUAUUAACAUGUCAGUCUUUCCCUAACUUCUUGAAAUUAUGAACUAUAGUUUUUAAUGUGCUUGUCUGCUAUAAUUAUACCAUCUCUGUCAUUUUGGAUCCAGUUCCAACUGAUUGAUUUUCCUCUUCAUUAUCAGUCAUAUUAUCUUGCCUUAUAGCCUUGUCUUUCUAUCUAUGUCUUAUAGUGUGUGAUUGAUUUGAUCCUUUCAGUCUUACUUUUAAGCUUUAUUAUGAAGGAAUAGAGCAGUUGGUCCAGGGCGUAUUUUCUACCACUAUUGAAACACAGUACUCCUGAGAAUUCUUCCUGAUUUGUGGAUUGUGAGGUUUUUUUUUUUUUUAACGCUGGCUGGAUCUUUGGUCUACUGCAGCAUAGGCUCACAUUAUUAGAAACUGAAGAAGAAAUACUAAAAGGUGGAGUUACCAUUAUGUCUCAGCAGUAACAAAUCUGACUAGGAUCCAUGAGGAUGCAAGUUUGAUCCCCAGCCUCACUCAGUGGAUUAAGGAUCCCACGUUGUCAUGAGCUGUGGUGUAGAUUGCAGACGCGGCUCUGAUCCCGCAUUGCUGUGGCUCUGGCGUAGGCCGGUGGCUACAGCUCUGAUUCGACCCCUAGCCUGGGAACCUCCAUAUGCCGCGGGAGCGGCCCAAGAAAUAGCCAAAAAAAAAAAAAAAAAAAAAAAAAAA